rnacentral:sRNA from 1 species
GGGAUUCACCGCAAGUGAGGAAGGAAAUCAUUCUUUGUGCUUUGGGGAUGGGGAAUUGAUGAUUUCAGCACCUGUUCCAACUAAGACUAAAGUGGCCGUUGAUGAGAAUAAAGCCAAAGAAUUCCUUGGCAGCCUGAAGCGCCAGAAGCGGCAGCUGUGGGACCGGACUCGGCCCGAGGUGCAGCAGUGGUACCAGCAGUUUCUCUACAUGGGCUUUGACGAAGCGAAAUUUGAAGAUGACAUCACCUAUUGGCUUAACAGAGAUCGAAAUGGACAUGAAUACUAUGGCGAUUACUACCAACGUCACUAUGAAGAAGACUCUGCAAUUGGUCCCCGGAGCCCCUACGGCUUUAGGCAUGGAGCCAGCGUCAACUACGAUGACUACUAACCAUGACUUGCCACACGCUGUACAAGAAGCAAGUAGCGGUUCUCUUCAUGUAUCUCCUAAUGCCUUACACUACUUGGUUUCUGAUUUGCUCUAUUUCAGCAGAUCUUUUCUACCUACUUCGUGUGAUCAAAAAAGAAGAGUUAAAACAACACAUGUAAAUGCCUUUUGAUAUUUCAUGGGAAUGCCUCUCAUUUAAAAAUAGAAAUAAAGCAUUUUGUUAAAAAGAAAA